AUACGUAGGGUGCGAGCGUUAAUCGGAAUUACUGGGCGUAAAGCAUGCGCAGGCGGUUGUGUAAGACAGGUGUGAAAUCCCCGGGCUUAACCUGGGAACUGCGCUUGUGACUGCACGGCUAGAGUAUGGCAGAGGGGGGUGGAAUUCCACGUGUAGCAGUGAAAUGCGUAGAGAUGUGGAGGAACACCGAUGGCGAAGGCAGCCCCCUGGGCCAAUACUGACGCUCAUGCACGAAAGCGUGGGGAGCAAACAGAAUUAGAAACCCCGGUAGUCC
rnacentral:rRNA from 1 species